UACGUAGGGGGCUAGCGUUGUCCGGAUUUAUUGGGCGUAAAGAGCGUGUAGGCGGCUAGAUAGGUCCGUUGUGAAAACUCGAGGCUCAACCUCGAGACGUCGAUGGAAACCAUCUGGCUAGAGUCCGGAAGAGGAGAGUGGAAUCCUGGUGUAGCGGUGGAAUGCGUAGAGAUCCGGAAGAACACCGGUGGCGAAGGCGGUUAAGCUGGGCAGUUGCUGGACACUGAGGCGCGACAGCGUGGGGAGCAACAGG
rnacentral:rRNA from 1 species